UGGGGAAUUUUCGGCAAUGGGCGAAAGCCUGACCGAGCAAUGCCGCGUGAAGGAUGAAGGUUCUAUGGAUUGUAAACUUCUGUGGAAAAUAACUAAACAAAUGAAGUGUUUUCUAGAAAGAGGUUGCUAACUCUGUGCCAGCAGCCGCGGUAAUACGUAGGGCGCAAGCGUUAUCCGGAAUUAUUGGGCGUAAAGAGCUCGUAGGCGGUUUGUCGCGUCUGCCGUGAAAGUCCGGGGCUCAACUCCGGA
rnacentral:rRNA from 1 species